CAACGUAGGUAAUCUACCCUAGAGUUUGGAAUAACCGGCCGAAAGGCUGGCUAAUACUGAAUAGAGCGACGGAAUCCGUAAUUGGGUUUUUCGGGAAAGGGAGGCAGUAAUGCCCCUCGCUUUAGGAUGAGCCUGCGUCUCAUUAGCUAGUUGGUGGGGUAAUGGCCCACCAAGGCUUUGAUGGGUAGCUGGUCUGAGAGGAUGAUCAGCCACACUGGAACUGAAACACGGUCCAG
rnacentral:rRNA from 1 species